rnacentral:tRNA from 1 species
AGGCUUAUAGUUCAGUCUGGUAGAACGUACCGCUCAUGACGGUUUUGUCGUAGGUUCAAAUCCUGCUAAGCCUA